AUCUACUUGAUGAGUUCCAAAUAAGACGAAACGCGUGUACUAGAU
rnacentral:hammerhead_ribozyme from 1 species